UACGGGGGGGGCAAGCGUUGUUCGGAAUUACUGGGCGUAGAGGGCGCGUAGGCGGCCUGCUAAGUCGGACGUGAAAUCCCCCGGCUCAACCGGGGAACUGCGUCCGAUACUGGUGGGCUCGAAUCCGGGAGAGGGAUGUGGAAUUCCAGGUGUAGCGGUGAAAUGCGUAGAUAUCUGGAGGAACACCGGUGGCGAAGGCGGCAUCCUGGACCGGCAUUGACGCUGAGGCGCGAAAGCCAGGGGAGCAAACGGG
rnacentral:rRNA from 1 species